rnacentral:rRNA from 1 species
UACAGAGGGCCCAAGCGUUGUUCGGAUUCAUUGGGCGUAAAGGGUGCGUAGGCGGCGCGGUAAGUCGAGUGUGAAAUCUCGGGGCUUAACUCCGAAACUGCAUUCGAUACUGCCGUGCUUGAGGACUGGAGAGGAGACUGGAAUUUACGGUGUAGCGGUGAAAUGCGUAGAUAUCGUAAGGAAGACCAGUGGCGAAGGCGGGUCUCUGGACAGUUCCUGACGCUGAGGCACGAAGGCCAGGGGAGCAAACGGG